AUAUGAAGCGAUGUUCUAUUCCAUGACUUUCACAGAAUUUGUGGAGUCGAGCAUCACUAAAUUGUCUGUCAUUAUCUGUAAUCAGUAUUUUGAGAAGAUCAUAUUGACAGAUAAUAAAUUUUCAAAUAAAGUUCUUCACUCUUACUUCAGUUAUACGGACCAGAGACUCGGCUUCAACCCAUUUUAUGAAGUAAUCGAUAGCCA
rnacentral:lncRNA from 1 species